ACCAGACUCCUACGGGAGGCAGCAGUGGGGGAUAUUGCACAAUGGGGGAAACCCUGAUGCAGCGACGCCGCGUGGGUGAAGAAGCGCCUCGGCGCGUAAAGCUCUAUCAGCAGGGAAGAAAAAAGACGGUACCUGACUAAGAAGCCCCGGCUAACUACGUGCCAGCAGCCGCGGUAAUACGUAGGGGGCAAGCGCUAUCCGGAUUUACUGGGUGUAAAGGGAGCGUAGACGGCAAUACAAGUCGGAAGUGAAAUACCCGGGCUCAACCUGGGAACUGCUUUGGAAACUGUAUGGCUGGAGUGCUGGAGAGGUAAGCGGAAUUCCUAGUGUAGCGGUGAAAUGCGUAGAUAUUAGGAGGAACACCAGUGGCGAAGACGGCUUACUGGACAGUAACUGACGUUGAGGCUCGAAAGCGUGGGGAGCAAACAGGAUUAGAUACCCUAGUA
rnacentral:rRNA from 1 species